UACGUAGGGACCAAGCGUUGUUCGGAUUUACUGGGCGUAAAGGGCGCGUAGGCGGCAAUUCAAGUCAUCUGUGAAAUCUCCGGGCUUAACCCGGAACGGUCAGAUGAUACUGCUUUGCUAGAGUGCGGAAGGGGCAAUCGGAAUUCUUGGUGUAGCGGUGAAAUGCGUAGAUAUCAAGAGGAACACCUGAGGUGAAGACGGGUCGCUGGGCCGACACUGACGCUGACAGCGCGAAAGCCAGGGGAGCAAACGGG
rnacentral:rRNA from 1 species